GCUCGCUUAGCUCAGUUGGUUAGAGUACUUCCUUGACAUGGAAGGGGUCGGCAGUUCGAGUCUGCCAGCGAGUACCA
rnacentral:tRNA from 1 species